GACGAACGCUGGCGGCGUGCUUAACACAUGCAAGUCGAACGGAAAGGCCCUGCUUUUGUGGGGUGCUCGAGUGGCGAACGGGUGAGUAACACGUGAGUAACCUGCCCUUGACUUUGGGAUAACUUCAGGAAACUGGGGCUAAUACCGGAUAGGAGCUCCUGCUGCAUGGUGGGGGUUGGAAAGUUUCGGCGGUUGGGGAUGGACUCGCGGCUUAUCAGCUUGUUGGUGGAGUAGUGGCUUACCAAGGCUUUGACGGGUAGCCGGCCUGAGAGGGUGACCAGCCACAUUGGGACUGAGGUACGGCCCAGACUCCUACGGGGGGCAGCAGUGGGGAAUAUUGCACAAUGGGCGGAAGCCUGAUGCAGCAACGCCGCGUGCGGGAUGACGGCCUUCGGGUUGUAAACCGCUUUCGCCUGUGACGAAGCGUGAGUGACGGUAAUGGGUAAAGAAGCACCGGCUAACUACGUG
rnacentral:rRNA from 1 species